rnacentral:rRNA from 1 species
UACGUGAGGCAGCGAGCGUUGUUCGGAAUUAACUGGGCGUAAAGGGUGUGUAGGCGGUUGUUUAAGUUUGGUGUGAAAUCUCCCGGCUCAACUGGGAGGGUGCGCCGAAUACUGAAUGACUUCGAGUACGGGAGAGGUGAGUGGAAUUCCUGGUGUAGCGGUGAAAAUGCGUAGAUAUCAGGAGGAACACCGGUGGUGUAGACGGCUCACUGGACCGUAACUGACGCUGAGACGAAAGCGUGGGUAGCAAACAGG